GGGGGUGUAGCUUAGUCCGGUUUAAAGCAGUCGCCUGUCGAGCGAAAGAUCGUGGGUUCAAAUCCCAUCAUCCCCG
rnacentral:tRNA from 1 species